rnacentral:rRNA from 1 species
GACGUAGGUGGCGAACGUUAUCCGGAAUCAUUGGGCGUAAAGGGUGCGUAGAUGGCAUGAUAAGUUAUUAGUGGGAAAUCGAGGCUCAACCUCGUGGAAGCUAGUAAUACUGUUUUGCUUGAGUAUAGAAGAGGUUAACGGAACUCCAUGUGGAGCGGUAAAAUGCGUAGAUAUAUGGAAGAACACCAAUAACGGCGAAGGCAGUUAACUAUUCUAUUACUGACAUUGAGGCACGAAAGCGUGGGGAGCAAAACGG